rnacentral:tRNA from 1 species
GUUCCUGUAGUGCAAUAGAUAGUGUGUUGGACUUUUAAUCCAAAGGUUGUGGGUUUGAAUCCCACCUGGGAUG